rnacentral:rRNA from 1 species
CCGAUAACGAACGAGACCUCAGCCUGCUAACUAGCUACGCGGAGGUUCCCCUUCGCGGCCAGCUUCUUAGAGGGACUAUGGCCGUUUAGGCCAUGGAAGUUUGAGGCAAUAACAGGUCUGUGAUGCCCUUAGAUGUCCGGGGCUGCACGCGCGCUACACUGACUGGCUCAGCGUGUGCCUACCCUACGCCGGCAGGCGCGGGUAACCCGUUGAACCCCAUUCGUGAUGGGGAUCGGGGAUUGCAAUUAUUCCCCAUGAACGAGGAAUUCCCAGUAAGUGCGGGUCAUAAGCUUGCGUUGAUUAAGUCCCUGCCCUUUGUACACACCGCCCGUCGCUCCUACCGAUUGAAUGGUCCGGUGAAGUGUUCGGAUCGCG